rnacentral:rRNA from 1 species
UAUGAGAGUUUGAUCCUGGCUCAGGACGAACGCUGGCGGCGUGCCUAAUACAUGCAAGUCGAACGCUUCUUUCCUCCCGAGUGCUUGCACUCAAUUGGAAAGAGGAGUGGCGGACGGGUGAGUAACACGUGGGUAACCUACCCAUCAGAGGGGGAUAACACUUGGAAACAGGUGCUAAUACCGCAUAACAGUUUAUGCCGCAUGGCAUAAGAGUGAAAGGCGCUUUCGGGUGUCGCUGAUGGAUGGACCCGCGGUGCAUUAGCUAGUUGGUGAGGUAACGGCUCACCAAGGCCACGAUGCAUAGCCGACCUGAGAGGGUGAUCGGCCACACUGGGACUGAGACACGGCCCAGACUCCUACGGGAGGCAGCAGUAGGGAAUCUUCGGCAAUGGACGAAAGUCUGACCGAGCAACGCCGCGUGAGUGAAGAAGGUUUUCGGAUCGUAAAACUCUGUUGUUAGAGAAGAACAAGGACGUUAGUAACUGAACGUCCCCUGACGGUAUCUAACCAGAAAGCCACGGCUAACUACGUGCCAGCAGCCGCGGUAAUACGUAGGUGGCAAGCGUUGUCCGGAUUUAUUGGGCGUAAAGCGAGCGCAGGCGGUUUCUUAAGUCUGAUGUGAAAGCCCCCGGCUCAACCGGGGAGGGUCAUUGGAAACUGGGAGACUUGAGUGCAGAAGAGGAGAGUGGAAUUCCAUGUGUAGCGGUGAAAUGCGUAGAUAUAUGGA